rnacentral:rRNA from 1 species
GCCCUUCACUACGGAAUAGCCUCGGGAAACUGAGAGUAAUACCGUAUACGCCCUUUGGGGAAAGAUUUAUCGGUGAAGGAUUAGCCCGCGUCUGAUUAGAUAGUUGGUGGGGUAACGGCCUACCAAGUCGACGAUCAGUAGCUGGUUUGAGAGGAUGAUCAGCAACACUGGGACUGAGACACGGCCCAGACUCCUACGGGAGGCAGCAGUGGGGAAUCUUAGACAAUGGGCGCAAGUGAUCUAGCCAUGCCGCGUGAGUGACGAAGGCCUUAGGGUCGUAAAGCUCUUUCGCCAGGGAUGAUAAUGACAGUACCUGGUAAAGAAACCCCGGCUAACUCCGUGCCAGCAGCCGCGGUAAUACGGAGGGGGUUAGCGUUGUUCGGAAUUACUGGGCGUAAAGCGCGCGUAGGGGAUUGGAAAGUUGGGGGUGAAAUCCCGGGGCUCAACCCCGAACUGCCUCCAAAACUAUCAGUCUAGAGUUCGAGAGAGGUGAGUGGAAUUCCAAGUGUAGAGGUGAAAUUCGUAGAUAUUUGGAGGAACACCAGUGGCGAAGGGGCUCACUGGCUCGAUACUGACGCUGAGGUGCGAAAGUGUGGGGAGCAAACAGGAUUAGAUACCCUGGUAGUCCACACCGUAAACGAUGAAUGCCAGACGUCGGGGGGCUUGCCUUCGGUGUCACACCUAACGGAUUAAGCAUUCCGCCUGGGGAGU